rfam:Triticum aestivum genome assembly, contig: Triticum_aestivum_CS42_TGACv1_scaffold_577787_7BL
AUUCUACUCCCUUCGUUGCACAAUACAUGCCUUCUAUUUGUCAAUAUAUAUAUUUAUCUAGACAUGUUUUAGUAUAUAGGCACAUCCAUUUUUGGACAAAUGGAAGUCAAGUAUUUUGGAACGGAGGGAGUAGACA